rnacentral:rRNA from 1 species
CCCCUAGAUGUUCUGGGCCGCACGCGCGCUACACUGAACAGUUCAACAAGUCUUAACCUUGGCCGAUAGGUCUAGGUAAUCUUUGAACGCUGUUCGUGAUUGGGAUAGACCUUUGCAAUUAUGGGUCUUCAACGAGGAAUUCCUAGUAAACGCAAGUCAUCAGCUUGCAUUGAUUACGUCCCUGCCCUUUGUACACACCGCCCGUCGCACCUACCGAUUGAAUGGUCCGGUGAAAUCUCGGGACGGCGGCUUGGUCGCUUGCGUCCGACUGCUGAAACUUGAUUAAACCAUAUCAUUUAGAGGAAGGUGAAGUCGUANCA